rnacentral:rRNA from 1 species
UACGUAGGGUCCGAGCGUUGUCUGGAAUUAUUGGGCGUAAAGAGCUCGUAGGCGGUCUGUCGCGUCGGCUGUGAAAACACGGGGCUCAACUCCGUGCCUGCAGUCGAUACGGGCAGACUAGAGUUCGGUAGGGGAGACUGGAAUUCCUGGUGUAGCGGUGAAAUGCGCAGAUAUCAGGAGGAACACCGGUGGCGAAGGAGGGUCUCUGGGCCGAAACUGACGCUGAGGAGCGAAAGCGUGGGGAGCGAACAGG